GAUGAACGCUGGCGGCGUGCUUAACACAUGCAAGUCGAGCGGAAAGGCCCUGCUUUUGUGGGGUGCUCGAUUGGCGAACGGGUGAGUAACACGUGAGUAACCUGCCCUUGACUUUGGGAUAACUUCAGGAAACUGGGGCUAAUACCGGAUAUGAUCUCCUGCUGCAUGGUGGGGGUUGGAAAGUUUCGGCGGUUGGGUAUGGACUCGCGGCUUAUCAGCUUGUUGGUGGGGUAGUGGCUUACCAAGGCUUUGACGGGUAGCCGGCCUGAGAGGGUGACCGGCCACAUUGGGACUGAGAUACGGCCCAGACUCCUACGGGAGGCAGCAGUGGGGAAUAUUGCACAAUGGGCGGAAGCCUGAUGCAGCAACGCCGCGUGCGGGAUGACGGCCUUCGGGUUGUAAACCGCUUUCGCCUGUGACGAAGCGUGAGUGACGGUAAUGGGUAAAGAAGCACCGGCUAACUACGUG
rnacentral:rRNA from 1 species